GAUCAUUUCAAAAUCGUCGAAGAGUUUGCCCCAUUUGCCCACUGUAUCAACUCUAUGAUUUGCCAUAGGUUACGGUGAUUUACAAGGCUCAACGCGUUCACACAGCAUUGUCAAAACCUAAACCACCCCUUCCGCGGAGAACUAUAUGCCGAGGACGUGUACCGCGUUUUGUGAUGUUUUAGAUUGCCCCAAUGGGCCUGGUAGAGCUCGGGAAACUCAGAGUGAACUUGGAGUCUGUGCCUACCAUCUCCUGCCGCGCUUGGAACCACGACGUUCACUGUGGCUCACCGCAGUGCCAUUUCGAAGCGAGCGAACAAAACAACGGAGAGUGUGCUCGCUGCAUUUUCGUCGAGAGGAUUACACAUGCGACCCUGUCUUGUUCAGGUCGCUCGGUGUCGACUUAAGACCUUCGCUUAACUUGGACGCUGUCCCUUCGUUGCUGGGAUAUGAUCGGCAAGCAUUGUUUCAAACGGCCGAGGUUUCGGGCACUGACAGCUGCCACAAACAGAAAUAUGCAGACCUUCUGGAGAGUCAGCACGAGUCAUCACGCAUUCACGAUAUGGCAACUCAAGCUAAUGUGUUCACAAGGACCAUAGGCGUCCAAGGACCCAUAACAGUGAAGCGAACCAAAACCCAAGCAGUGCAGACCAGUGCGCCAGUCAGUACCACGUUUGUCUGUCACUGCAAAAGGAGCGGCAGAGGAGCAUGGUGCGGCAGUGCAGCGUAAUGACACAUCACCAGAGUGUCAUCAGAAAUUACAGUCGUGGCCUCACUUCUUGCACCAGGGACGUCCUGGGUGACACUUCCUGUGUCAGAGGAAGCAUCUUCAUUGCCUUGCUGACCAGAACCCAUAUGGCACACAUUUGCAGUUCGAGUAGCAUGAAGCUGUCCUUGGUGUGGUCAUGCAUAAGGCAUGUCCUAGGUGUCGCUGUCCUCUUUCCAGACUGCUUUCAGACGCACAUGUCUGGAGCAAAGUCACGAAGCUGUGAUCCAAGGAGUUGUCAUGAAAGCAAGAGGUUCAAGAAAGGAAUCCCUGCUCUCAAGAUAUCUUAUUUAAGGGCACAAAGCGUCACUUGUAUUGCCAUGAAAUAUCAUAAAAGAGCAGUACUACUGUGCUUUAAAGAAGAACUGGCA
rnacentral:lncRNA from 1 species